CCCAAACCGGGCGCUUACCAUGCAGUCGACGGCAGCACGGACUUCGGUCUGGUGCGCGAGUCGGCGAACUGAGGUGAGUAAUGUAUCGGAACGUGCCCAGUAGCGGGGGAUAACUACGCGAAAGCGUAGCUAAUACCGCAUACGCCCUACGGGGGAAAGCAGGGGAUCGCAAGACCUUGCACUAUUGGAGCGGCCGAUAUCGGAUUAGCUAGUUGGUGGGGUAACGGCUCACCAAGGCGACGAUCCGUAGCUGGUUUGAGAGGACGACCAGCCACACUGGGACUGAGACACGGCCCAGACUCCUACGGGAGGCAGCAGUGGGGAAUUUUGGACAAUGGGGGAAACCCUGAUCCAGCCAUCCCGCGUGUGCGAUGAAGGCCUUCGGGUUGUAAAGCACUUUUGGCAGGAAAGAAACGUCGCGGGUUAAUACCCCGCGAAACUGACGGUACCUGCAGAAUAAGCACCGGCUAACUACGUGCCAGAGCC
rnacentral:rRNA from 1 species